rnacentral:rRNA from 1 species
UGGGGAAUAUUGGACAAUGGGGGGAACCCUGAUCCAGCAAUGCCGCGUGUGUGAAGAAGGCCUGAGGGUUGUAAAGCACUUUCAGUGGGGAGGAGGGAUGAGAGGUUAAUAGCUUUUUAUUUGGACGUUACCCACAGAAGAAGCACCGGCUAACUCCGUGCCAGCAGCCGCGGUAAUACGGAGGGUGCGAGCGUUAAUCGGAAUUACUGGGCGUAAAGGGUGCGUAGGUUGUUUAUUAAGUUAUCUGUGAAAUACCUGGGCUUAACCUGGGCAGGUCAGAUAAGACUGAUGGACUCGAGUAUGGGAGAGGGUAGUGGAAUUUCCGGUGUAGCGGUGAAAUGCGUAGAGAUCGGAAGGAACACCAGUGGCGAAGGCGGCUACCUGGCCUGAUACUGACACUGAGGCACGAAAGCGUGGGGAGCAAACAGG